AGUGAACGCUGGCGGCAGGCCUAACACAUGCAAGUCGAACGGCAGCACAGGGGUAGCAAUACCCUGGGUGGCGAGUGGCGGACGGGUGAGGAAUACGUCGGAAUCUGCCUAUUUGUGGGGGAUAACGUAGGGAAACUUACGCUAAUACCGCAUACGACCUACGGGUGAAAGCGGAGGACCUUCGGGCUUCGCGCAGAUAGAUGAGCCGACGUCGGAUUAGCUAGUUGGCGGGGUAAAGGCCCACCAAGGCGACGAUCCGUAGCUGGUCUGAGAGGAUGAUCAGCCACACUGGAACUGAGACACGGUCCAGACUCCUACGGGAGGCAGCAGUGGGGAAUAUUGGACAAUGGGCGCAAGCCUGAUCC
rnacentral:rRNA from 1 species